CAAGAAAAUGGUUUUGGUGCAAGUUCUUAUGCGGAACAUUGGGGCAGAAAUCCUUCAGCUUCCGAAGAAAAUGGUUUUGAUGCAAGUUCUUAUGCGGAACAUUGGGGCAGAAAUCCUUCAGCUUCCGAAGAAAAUGGUUUUGCUGCAAGUUCUUAUGCGGAACAUUGGGGCAGAAAUCCUUCAG